GAUGAACGCUGGCGGCGUGCCUAAUACAUGCCAGUCGAGCGAACGGACGAGAAGCUUGCUUCUCUGAUGUUAGCGGCGGACGGGUGAGUAACACGUGGAUAACCUACCUAUAAGACUGGGAUAACUUCGGGAAACCGGAGCUAAUACCGGAUGAUAUUUUGAACCGCAUGGUUCAAAAGUGAAAGACGGUCUUGCUGUCACUUAUAGAUGGAUCCGCGCUGCAUUAGCUAGUUGGUAAGGUAACGGCUUACCAAGGCAACGAUGCAUAGCCGACCUGAGAUGGUGAUCGGCCACACUGGAACUGAGACACGGUCCAGACUCCUACGGGAGGCAGCAGUAGGGAAUCUUCCGCAAUGGGCGAAAGCCUGACGGAGCAACGCCGCGUGAGUGGUGAAGGUCUUCGGAUCGUAAAACUCUGUUAUUAGGGAAGAACAUAUGUGUAAGUAACUGUGCACAUCUUGACGGUACCUAAUCAGAAAGCCACGGCUAACUACGUG
rnacentral:rRNA from 1 species